GCGAGAGUGGCGGAACUGGUAGACGCACUGGCCUUAGGAGCCAGCGGCCAUCAGCCGUAGGGGUUCGAGUCCCCUCUCUCGCACCA
rnacentral:tRNA from 1 species